rnacentral:rRNA from 1 species
UACGAAGGGGGCUAGCGUUGUUCGGAAUCACUGGGCGUAAAGGGCGCGUAGGCGGCUGUUCAAGUCGGGGGUGAAAUCCUGUGGCUCAACCACAGAAUGGCCUCGAUACUGGACGGCUAGAGACCGGAAGAGGUGAGUGGAACUGCGAAGUGUAGAGGUGAAAUUCGAUAGAUAUUCGCAAGAACACCAGUGGCGAAGGCGGCUCACUGGUCCGGUUCUGGACGCUGAGGCGCGAAAGCGUGGGGAGCGAACAGG